rnacentral:rRNA from 1 species
GAUGAACGCUGGCGGCGUGCCUAAUACAUGCAAGUCGAGCGAACGGACGAGAAGCUUGCUUCUCCGAUGUUAGCGGCGGACGGGUGAGUAACACGUGGAUAACCUACCUAUAAGACUGGGAUAACUUCGGGAAACCGGAGCUAAUACCGGAUAAUAUUUUGAACCGCAUGGUUCAAAAGUGAAAGACGGUCUUGCUGUCACUUAUAGAUGGAUCCGCGCUGCAUUAGCUAGUUGGUAAGGUAACGGCUUACCAAGGCAACGAUGCAUAGCCGACCUGAGAGGGUGAUCGGCCACACUGGAACUGAGACACGGUCCAGACUCCUACGGGAGGCAGCAGUAGGGAAUCUUCCGCAAUGGGCGAAAGCCUGACGGAGCAACGCCGCGUGAGUGAUGAAGGUCUUCGGAUCGUAAAACUCUGUUAUUAGGGAAGAACAUAUGUGUAAGUAACUGUGCACAUCUUGACGGUACCUAAUCAGAAAGCCGCGGCUAACUACGUG